AUUGAACGCUGGCGGCAGGCCUAACACAUGCAAGUCGAGCGAGCGGCGGACGGGUGAGUAAUGUAUGGGGACUGCCCGCUAGAGGGGGAUAACUACUGGAAACGGUAGCUAAUACCGCAUACUCUCGGAUAACCCAUGUGGGCUGAGCUAGUAGGUGAGGUAAUGGCUCACCUAGGCAACGAUCCCUAGCUGGUGUGAGAGGAUGAUCAGCACCACGGGGACGGAGACACGGCCCAGACUCCAAGGGAGGCAGCAGUGGGGAAUAUUGCACAUGGGGCGAAAGCCUGAUGCAGACAUGCCGGGUGUAUGAAGAAGGCUUUAGGGUGGUAAAGUACUUUCAGUGGGGAGGCGUUACCGACAGAAGAAGCACCGGCUAACUACGUGCCAGCAGCCGCGGUAAUUC
rnacentral:rRNA from 1 species